UUCAAAGAGGCUAACAAGCUACAGAUUGGUUGGCCUCGUUGCUAAUCAUUAACUCCCUCGAUCCAACCUACAUGCACCAUAUUAAUGUAUCCAUAUUAGAACUGCAUGAAUCAUCCGGCUUAGAAAAAGAAAAAAAAAAGAAAAAAAAACGGGUAUAAAUGCAUGAAUAACCAGAUGGUGCAAAGAAAAUUUCUAAUAAAUAUUAUUGAACUGAAACAUGGCUGCCUAUGUUGUUUUUAUUUUUUAUUCUUUUCAGGGUAUAUAUGUUUUCUGAUGAGGUGACUGCAUCCAUGGAGCAAAUACAGCAAAGACCUUGGCAGUUUCAGUCACGGAGAGAGCUCAGAAUAUCUGCAAAGGCUACAGCAAUAUGAAGGCGGAGGUGAAGGUUUCCGUUGGGGACGCUAGGAUGCGUGAUCUGCGAGAUGGUGCAGAAGCUGGGAGCUGACCUGUUGGUCAUGGGGAAGUCAUGGCUAUGGUUUCCAUUAAGAGGUGAUAAAUUAACAAUAAGCAAAAUUUUAAACAUAUGUACAAUUUUUUUUUGUUCCGGAGUAUGCCCAGUGCUUAUGAUUUGAGUGCUUUUCCAGGGCUUUUCUGGGGAGCGUCAGCGGAUUACUGUGCUCGAAAUGCGAAGUGUCCCGAUUCUGAUUGUGAAAACGCCCAACAAAUUAAACUUUUCUCUGGUUUGCUGGCAACAGUAGUUGGAGAUUUGUAGUUUUGUAGCAGCUACUGAUUUUAUUCACCUGCUUUAAGAGGAAAUAAUAUCUGUACAUAGAACUCCCCAGUGUCCAAACAGCUUUGCCUAUUUCUUAAAACGCCAAGCAUUUCCUAUAUUGUCCACCUCUCUGAUUGUUCAGCAGUCUGUUUUGCCCUUCUCUACAUUUAUUGGCACUUGAUUUGUUCACAA